AUGCUAAUGAGGUGACAUGUGCUCCUGUAACUGUAUAUAAGAAAAGCCCAACAUUCAGAGCAGCACUACAACAACCUCCUCGACCAUCUGCGAGACACUCUGCUCAAGACUAAAAGGUGUGAUCACUGUAACCAUGCUGAAGGUAGCACUUGUGCUUGGAUGCCUCCUGAGCCUCGCUCUGGCUCAUCCUGUGGAGCGCAAACGAGUUGCUCGGUCUAGCUCUAACUCUGGCUCGUAUUCUCAUGAGGUUUUCAGACCAUGGCCUAGGCCAGUGCCAGUGCCUAGGCCUGUGCCUAGGCCAGUGCCAAUUCCAGUGCCAGUGCCUAGGCCUGUGCCUAAGCCAGUGCCAAUUCCAGUGCCAGUGCCUAGGCCAGUGCCACUGCCAAUACCUGUGCCAGUGCCGGCCCCGGCCCCCCCUGCCCCCC